GCAUAUCAAUAAGCGGAGGAAAAGAAACCAACAGGGAUUGCCCUAGUAACGGCGAGUGAAGCGGCAACAGCUCAAAUUUGAAAUCUGGCCCUAGUGGUCCGAGUUGUAAUUUGUAGAGGAUGCUUUGGGUGCGGUGCCUUCUGAGUUCCCUGGAACGGGACGCCAGAGAGGGUGAGAGCCCCGUACGGUCGGACACCUAGCCUAUAUAUAGCUCCUUCGACGAGUCGAGUAGUUUGGGAAUGCUGCUCUAAAUGGGAGGUAUAUUUCUUCUAAAGCUAAAUACCGGCCAGAGACCGAUAGCGCACAAGUAGAGUGAUCGAAAGAUGAAAAGCACUUUGAAAAGAGGGUUAAAUAGCACGUGAAAUUGUUGAAAGGGAAGCGUUUGCGACCAGACCUUUUCCGGGCGGAUCAUCCGGCGUUCUCGCCGGUGCACUUCGCCCGGUUUAGGCCAGCAUCGGUUUUCUUAGGGGGAUAAAGACCAGGGGAACGUAGCUCUCUAGGGAGUGUUAUAGCCCCUGGUGUAAUACCCUUCGGGGGACCGAGGACCGCGCUUUUGCAAGGAUGCUGGCGUAAUGGUCGUCAACGACCCGUCUUGAAACACGGACCAAGGAGUCGAACAUUGGUGCGAGUGUUUGGGUGUUAAACCCUCACGCGUAAUGAAAGUGAACGGAGGUGAGAGCCCUUACGGGUGCAUCAUCGACCGAUCCUGAUGUCUUCGGAUGGAUUUGAGUAAGAGCAUCACUGUUCGGACCCGAAAGAUGGUGAACUAUGCGUGGAUAGGGUGAAGCCAGAGGAAACUCUGGUGGAGGCUCGCAGCGGUUCUGACGUGCAAAUCGAUCGUCAAAUCUGCGCAUGGGGGCGAAAGACUUAUCGAACCAUCUAGUAGCUGGUUACCGCCGAA
rnacentral:rRNA from 1 species